rnacentral:rRNA from 1 species
GAGUUUGAUCCUGGCUCAGAACGAACGCUGGCGGCAGGCUUAACACAUGCAAGUCGAACGCCCGUCUUCGGACGGGAGUGGCAGACGGGUGAGUAACGCGUGGGAACGUACCCUUCGGUUCGGGAUAACCCGGGGAAACUCGGGCUAAUACCGGAUACGCCCGCUUCUGGAGACAGGGGCGGGGAAAGGUUUACUGCCGAAGGAUCGGCCCGCGUCGGAUUAGGCUGGGUUGGUGGGGUAACGGCCUACCAAGGCGACGAUCCGUAGCUGGUCUGAGAGGAUGAUCAGCCACACUGGGACUGAGACACGGCCCAGACUCCUACGGGAGGCAGCAGUGGGGAAUAUUGGACAAAUGGGCGCAAGCCUGAUCCAGCCAAUGCCGCGUGAGUGAAGAAGGCCUUAAGGGUUGUAAAAGCUCUUUCAGCGGGGACGAUAAUGACGGUACCCGGCAGAAGAAGCCCCGGCUAAACUUCGUGCCAGCAGCCGCGGUAAU